AGGUAAUAGAUACCCCCGGUAGUCCACGCUGUAAACGAUGAUGACUAGCUGUCUGGGCGCUUAGCGUUCAGGUGGCGCAGCUAACGCGUUAAGUCAUCCGCCUGGGGAGUACGGCCGCAAGGUUAAAACUCAAAGAAAUUGACGGGGGCCUGCACAAGCGGUGGAGCAUGUGGUUUAAUUCGAAGCAACGCGCAGAACCUUACCAGCGUUUGACAUGCCAGGACGGUUUCCAGAGAUGGAUUCCUUCCCUUACGGGACCUGGACACAGGUGCUGCAUGGCUGUCGUCAGCUCGUGUCGUGAGA
rnacentral:rRNA from 1 species